CAGGAAGGGCAGCCUCCGAAGAGCCAUUUCAACUCAGCUCGACAUCGCCAGAGACUAGUGGACCCAGCUGCUUCAAAAAAGGAGCUGAGCCUCCCUCGAAGAGGAAGCCUGGUAGAUUCCCAGAAGUGGAAUUGCUUGGUCAAACGG